CCAGUUGUGCACCUGCAUAUCAAGAAUAUUACACAACAAUUCCAAAGGCGCUUCCAACUUGCAGCCACAAUGCAUAGAUGUCGACAGGAGAGGUAUCAGAACAACCACUCCUUUUUGUUGUUAGAGGUGGCUGAGGAGCGCUACCGGAGGAGCCCGGGAUCCCCGAGGUGCAUCAGUCCCGAAAUAAGGGAGAGCAGCAGCAUCGCUCCCGGCCACCAAAGGUACACUCGUUUCGGUCAAUAGCAUUUUUUUCCCCCACUUCCCCUCGGUGUUUGCUAAAGGGCGCGGAGCUGCGUGCGAGUCCCACAGCCGGAGGAGAAAGGAAACGCGAAGAGCUUCUUCCAGCGGACGCUGCUCCCCUUCCCCUCCAUCCUGCGGGGUGAGGAACGGAGGGGCUCGGAGAGCGGCGGGGGGGA
ensembl:lncRNA